AGAGUUUGAUCAUGGCUCAGAACGAACGCUGGCGCAUGCCUAACACAUGCAAGUCGAACGAGACCUUCGGGUCUAGUGGCGCACGGGUGCGUAACGCGUGGAACCUGCCCUUAGGUUCGGAAUAACUCCUCGAAAGGGGUGCUAAUACCGGAUAAUGUCUUCGGACCAAAGAUUUAUCGCCUUUGGAUGGGCCCGCGUUGGAUUAGCUAGUUGGUGGGGUAAAGGCCUACCAAGGCGACGAUCCAUAGCUGGUCUUAGAGGAUGAUCAGCCACACUGGGACUGAGACACGGCCCAGACUCCUACGGGAGGCAGCAGUGGGGAAUAUUGGACAAUGGGCGAAAGCCUGAUCCAGCAAUGCCGCGUGAGUGAUGAAGGCCUUAGGGUUGUAAAGCUCUUUUACCCGGGAUGAUAAUGACAGUACCGGGAGAAUAAGCCCCGGCUAACUCCGUGCCAGCAGCCGCGGUAAUACGGAGGGGGCUAGCGUUGUUCGGAAAUACUGGGCGUAAAGCGAACGUAGGCGGCUUAGCAAGUCAGGGGUGAAAUCCCAGAGCUCAACUCUGGAACUGCCUUUGAAACUGCUUCGCUUGAAUCCUGGAGAGGCGAGUGGAAUUCCGAGUGUAGAGGUGAAAUUCGUAGAUAUUCGGAAGAACACCAGUGGCGAAGGCGACUCGCUGGACAGGUAUUGACGCUGAGGUUCGAAAGCGUGGGGAGCAAACAGGAUUAGAUACCCUAGUAGUCC
rnacentral:rRNA from 1 species